GUGAACGCUGGCGGUAGGCCUCACACCUGCAAGUCGAACGGCAGCACAGUAAGAGCUUGCUCUUACGGGUGGCGAGUGGCGGACGGGUGAGGAAUACAUCGGAAUCUACUUUUUCGUGGGGGAUAACGUAGGGAAACUUACGCUAAUACCGCAUACGACCUACGGGUGAAAGCAGGGGAUCUUCGGACCUUGCGCGAUUGAAUGAGCCGAUGUCGGAUUAGCUCGUUGGCGGGGUAAAGGCCCACCAAGGCGACGAUCCGUAGCUGGUCUGAGAGGAUGAUCAGCCACACUGGAACUGAGACACGGUCCAGACUCCUAGGGGAGGCAGCAGUGAGGAAUAUUCGACAAUGGGCGCAAGCCUGAUCCAGCCAUACCGCGUGAGGCAGGAGAGCCUUCGGAUUGUGAAGCCCUUUUGUUGGGAAAGAAAAGCAGCAGGUUAAUACCCCGCUGUUCUGACGGUACCCAAAGAAUAAGCACCGGCUAACUUCGUG
rnacentral:rRNA from 1 species